GACGAACGCUGGCGGCGUGCCUAAUACAUGCAAGUAGAACGCAGCCGCGAACGGGUGAGCAACGCGUAGGUACCCUGUCUAACAGCGGGGGAUAACUACUGGAAACGAUAGCUCAUACCGCAUACUGUGAGAUGGACCGGUGUUGUAUUAGCUAGUUGGCGAGGUAAAGGCUCACCAAGGCGACGAUACAUAGCCGACCUGAGAGGGUGAUCGGCCCCACUGGGACUGAGACACGGACCAGACUCCUACGGGAGGCAGCAGUAGGGAAUCUUCGGCAAUGGAGGGAAGUCUGACCGAGCGACGCCGCGUGAGUGAAGAAGGUUUUCGGAUCGUAAAGCUCUGUUGUUAGAGAAGCGGUAGCUAACCAGAAAGGGACGGCUAACUACGUGCCAGCCGCCGCGGUAAUUC
rnacentral:rRNA from 1 species